rnacentral:sRNA from 1 species
AUAUUGCCGAAGACAGUAGGUGCCUAUCAGGCGUAACAUCAGACCUACCGAGGAGAUUUUAUAGAUGGUUUCAUCUAUAGAAGGAUCAUUUAUGAUUUGAUACCUCUCUGUCUUUGACAGAGAGGUUUUUUAGUG